rnacentral:rRNA from 1 species
GGUUCGGCCGGAUUUCACACAGGUGUUGCAUGGCUGUCGUCAGCUCGUGUCGUGAGAUGUUGGGUUAAGUCCCGCAACGAGCGCAACCCUCAUCCUUAGUUACCAUCAGGUAAUGCUGGGGACUUUAAGGAAACUGCCAGUGAUAAACUGGAGGAAGGUGGGGAUGAUGUCAAGUCAUCAUGGCCCUUAUGGAGUGGGCUACACACGUGCUACAAUGGUGGCUACAAUGGGCUGCAAAGUCGCGAGGCUAAGCUAAUCCCUUAAAAGCCAUCUCAGUUCGGAUUGUACUCUGCAACUCGAGUGCAUGAAGUUGGAAUCGCUAGUAAUCGUGGAUCAGCACGCCACGGUGAAUACGUUCUCGGGUCUUGUACACACUGCCCGUCA